GACAGAGGUGCCAAGCGUUAGGCGGAAUCACUGGGCUUAAAGCGUGUGUAGGCGGAUCGUUAAGUGCCUUGUGAAAUCCCACGGCUCAACCGUGGAACUGCUUGGCAUACUGGCGGUCUUGAGCAACCUAGGGGCGAGCGGAACAAAUGGUGGAGCGGUGAAAUGCGUAGAUAUCAUUUGGAACGCCAAUGGUGAAAACAGCUCGCUGGGGGUUUGCUGACGCUGAGACACGAAAGCCAGGGGAGCAAACGGG
rnacentral:rRNA from 1 species